UUGUCAUAUUUUGGACCUCUAGAAGCAUCGAUGACCUUGAGAAGCCUCGCCCCGGCCCCAUGAUUUCUGAGAGGAUCUCACAGCCAAACAUGAUCCGCUGGUGUCCAGCAGACCAGCUGCUGCGGCUCCUGAGAGCCACAUAAUAUCCUGUGGAUAUAGAGUGACACGGAUCCAGCGUGUGGCUUAACUCUGGCUGCUUUGAUCCUCCUGCUGCAGGUGCUGCCAACUCCACGCACUCUACACUUGCGUCGCUGCAACCUGCGGCCGCUGCCGGAUUAGCUCGGGACCUGGAGGAAUUGGAGGCCGAAAUCGGAUCCGGUUCGGGCUCAGAUCAAUUCCUGGGUCCGUCAGUGCUAAACAUCCCCGGCACUUCCUCCUCCAAUUAGAGCAACCUUGUUACAUCAGAUCUCGGUGAGCACCAGUCCUCCUCCGGAGCGGCCAACACGCCCCUGUGGGAGCCGUCAUGAGCAGCAGCUGGUGCAGCUCAAAGCUCACAGGAAUUCCAAGAAACAUCUGAGACAAAGUUGAUACUUCAAUGACUCAUAACUCAUUAAAUCUCCUUAAAUCAAUGAAAGAGCAGAGCAAUAACAUUUUCCUCUGGAUAACAAUAUUGACUUGAUUUCACCUGAACCGCUUCAUU